ACGGAAGCUUGGAGAGGCCAAGACCGAGCCGGAAGAGAAGGCUCGGAUCUCCCGCUUCAGGCUCCCCAGCACGGAACCCGGCACCCACGCGGAGCACAUGCCGCGGAAUAGGCAAAAGUGUUGCGGGCCUGCGUAUUUGCGAAGAGCGGACGACUAGAGUGGCCCUUUGGGUGGGGCCGAAGUCGAAGCGCAUCGACAAGACGCCGAGGCCACCCACGCAACCCAAGAGAGCACGCUUGGUAACCGGUGUCCGUGCUAGCGGGCGACGCGCCGAACCGACGUUCGGAACGUCGCCCGCUUCGCGUU
rnacentral:ncRNA from 1 species